AUUGAACGCUGGCGGCAUGCCUUACACAUGCAAGUCGAACGGUAACAGGUUAAGCUGACGAGUGGCGAACGGGUGAGUAAUGUAUCGGAACGUGCCCAGUCGUGGGGGAUAACUACUCGAAAGAGUGGCUAAUACCGCAUACGACCUGAGGGUGAAGGCGGGGGACCGUAAGGCCUCGCGCGAUUGGAGCGGCCGAUAUCAGAUUAGCUAGUUGGUGGGGUAAAAGCCCACCAAGGCGACGAUCUGUAGCUGGUCUGAGAGGACGACCAGCCACACUGGGACUGAGACACGGCCCAGACUCCUACGGGAGGCAGCAGUGGGGAAUUUUGGACAAUGGACGCAAGUCUGAUCCAGCCAUGCCGCGUGCGGGAAGAAGGCCUUCGGGUUGUAAACCGCUUUUGUCAGGGAAGAAGCGAGUUUCUCUAAUACAGAGACUUAAUGACGGUACCUGAAGAAUAAGCACCGGCUAACUACGUGCCAGCCGCCGCCGUAAAAC
rnacentral:rRNA from 1 species